rnacentral:rRNA from 1 species
GAUGAACGCUGGCGGCGUGCCUAAUACAUGCCAGUCGAGCGAACAGACGAGGAGCUUGCUCCUCUGACGUUAGCGGCGGACGGGCGAGUAACACGUGGAUAACCUACCUAUAAGACUGGGAUAACUUCGGGAAACCGGAGCUAAUACCGGAUAAUAUAUUGAACCGCAUGGUUCAAUAGUGAAAGACGGUUUUGCUGUCACUUAUAGAUGGAUCCGCGCCGCAUUAGCUAGUUGGUAAAGUAACGGCUUACCAAGGCAACGAUGCGUAGCCGACCUGAGAGGGUGAUCGGCCACACUGGAACUGAGACACGGUCCAGACUCCUACGGGAGGCAGCAGUAGGGAAUCUUCCGCAAUGGGCGAAAGCCUGACGGAGCAACGCCGCGUGAGUGAUGAAGGUCUUCGGAUCGUAAAACUCUGUUAUUAGGGAAGAACAAAUGUGUAAGUAACUAUGCACGUCUUGACGGUACCUAAUCAGAAAGCCACGGCUAACUACGUG